rnacentral:rRNA from 1 species
UACGAAGGGGGCUAGCGUUGCUCGGAAUUACUGGGCGUAAAGGGCGCGUAGGCGGCACUGUUAGUCAGGCGUGAAAGUCCUGGGCUCAACCUGGGAACUGCGCUUGAUACGGCAGAGCUAGAGGAUGGAAGAGGGUCGCGGAAUUCCCAGUGUAGAGGUGAAAUUCGUAGAUAUUGGGAAGAACACCGGUGGCGAAGGCGGCGACCUGGUCCAUUACUGACGCUGAGGCGCGACAGCGUGGGGGAGCAAACAGG